AGCGAACGCUGGCGGCAGGCCUAACACAUGCAAGUCGAACGAACCUUUCGGGGUUAGUGGCGGACGGGUGAGUAACACGUGGGAACGUGCCUUUAGGUUCGGAAUAACUCAGGGAAACUUGUGCUAAUACCGAAUGUGCCCUUCGGGGGAAAGAUUUAUCGCCUUUAGAGCGGCCCGCGUCUGAUUAGCUAGUUGGUUGAGGUAAUGGCGCACCAAGGCGACGAUCAGUAGCUGGUCUGAGAGGAUGAUCAGCCACAUUGGGACUGAGACACGGCCCAAACUCCUACGGGAGGCAGCAGUGGGGAAUCUUGCGCAAUGGGCGAAAGCCUGACGCAGCCAUGCCGCGUGAAUGAUGAAGGUAUUAGGAUUGUAAAAUUCUUUCACCGGGGACGAUAAUGACGGUACCCGGAGAAGAAGCCCCGGCUAACUUCGUG
rnacentral:rRNA from 1 species